rnacentral:snoRNA from 1 species
UAGCAUUUGAUUAAGCCUGUGUUGGUAGGGACAUCUGAGCGUGUUGACAAAUGCCACCAGCUCUGAUGGCAAAAA